UGGAUUAUGAAGCUGUGGCGGCUGUGAACCAUACGAAGCAGAACAUGCCUCAGCAUUGAGCAGGAAUACGGCAUGGCCACGCCAGCCACCUGCCAGUCCCUCCCUGUCCCAACCCCACACAGAUUACUUGUCAACCAGCUCAGCCACCUCAAUGUCACCAAGUGGUAAUAAUCAGGCGACGCUGCCCUCUGGUCCGGAAACGGAAAACUGACCUCUAGAAAAAUGUGAGCCGCUGGACCAGAGUCUUACGAAACAGACAACAAAACACGAUCACCAGUCAACUGGCCAAAGGCACUGUAUAGAGUUAAGCCUCCUGUUUGCUACAGAAGAUGUAAUAAAGAAUGUCUGAGGUAAAUGAAAGGUAGCAUCAUUUCCAGGAGACAAAGCUUUGAAGCUCUCUUACUGUAAGUGCAAAGCUGCUACCCUCCUGUGAAGAAAAUGUAGCUUGAGCUUUCUGCAGCCUGUGUGCAGCCCAAAUGCGUUUCUUCUAUGAGAAAGACACCAUUGCCAGGUGAAAGGGUUCCAGAUGCUGAAGUCUUCCUCCCAGCUUACAUCAACUGACUCCAAGACACACUAAGCCUUUUAACUCAAGCUGGAAAGUCUCAAGGGUUUUCUCCUCCAACUCCCAAAUAUCAAAAUCAUGCUCACAUAUUUAAACAAUUAGGUGAGAUGUACAGAAGCUAGCACUAAAUAUGUCUGAAAUUUGAGUGCCAAAUGUGCAGUCAAUAUUA